UUUUGUAGAUAAUUUAAGGUCUAGCCUGCCCACUGAAAUUUUAAAUGGCCGUGGUAUUUUGACCGUGCUAAGGUAGCAUAAUCAUUAGUUUUUUAAUUAAAAACUGGAAUGAAAGGUUGGAUGAGAAAAUAGCUGUCUCUAUUAAAUUUAAUUAGAAUUUUAUUUUUAAGUUAAAAAGCUUAAUUAUUAUUAAAAGACGAGAAGACCCUAUAGAGUUUAAUUAUUUAGUAAAAAUUAUAUUUUAGUAUUAAUUUAUUUAUUUUAUUAAAUAAUUUAAUUGGGGUGAUUGAAAAAUUUAAUUAACUUUUUUUAUUUAAGAACAUUAAUUUAUGAAUAAAUGAUCCAAUAUUUUCGAUUAUAAGAUAAAAUUACCUUAGGGAUAACAGCGUAAUUUUUUUAGAAAGUUCAUAUUAAAAAGAAAGAUUGCGACCUCGAUGUUGGAUUAAAAUAAAUUUUUGGUGUAGAAGCUAAAAUAUUAGGUCUGUUCGACCUUUAAAAUUUUA
rnacentral:rRNA from 1 species